rnacentral:rRNA from 1 species
GAACCAGACUCCUACGGGAGGCAGCAGUGAGGAAUAUUGGGCAAUGGGCGCAAGCCUGACCCAGCAACGCCGCGUGAAGGAAGAAGGCUUUCGGGUUGUAAACUUCUUUUGUCAGGGAAGAGUAGAAGACGGUACCUGACGAAUAAGCCACGGCUAACUCCGUGCCAGCAGCCGCGGUAAUACGGAGGGUGCGAGCGUUAAUCGGAAUUACUGGGCGUAAAGCGCUCGUAGGCGGUAUGUCAAGUCAAGGGUGAAAUCCCCGCGCUCAACGUGGGAACUGCCUUUGAAACUGGCAAACUGGAGUGUGUGAGAGGAUAGUGGAAUUCCAGGUGUAGGAGUGAAAUCCGUAGAUAUCUGGAGGAACAUCAGUGGCGAAGGCGACUAUCUGGCACAUAACUGACGCUGAGGAGCGAAAGCGUGGGUAGCAAACAGGAUUAGAUACCCUUGUA